CCUACGGGAGGCAGCAGUAGGGAAUAUUGCUCAAUGGGGGAAACCCUGAAGCAGCAACGCCGCGUGGAGGAUGAAGGUUUUCGGAUUGUAAACUCCUUUUGUUAGAGAAGAUAAUGACGGUAUCUAACGAAUAAGCACCGGCUAACUCCGUGCCAGCAGCCGCUGUCAUACGGAGGGUGCAAGCGUUACUCGGAAUCACUGGGCGUAAAGAGCGCGUAGGCGGGAUAGCAAGUCAGAUGUGAAAUCCUAUGGCUUAACCAUAGAACUGCAUUUGAAACUGUUAUUCUAGAGUAUGGGAGAGGUAGGUGGAAUUCUUGGUGUAGGGGUAAAAUCCGUAGAGAUCAAGAGGAAUACUCAUUGCGAAGGCGACCUGCUAGAACAUAACUGACGCUGAUGCGCGAAAGCGUGGGGAGCAAACAGGAUUAGAUACCCCGGUAGUC
rnacentral:rRNA from 1 species